ACGUUCCGUAUAUGCAUUUGAGUAGUGAUUCCGUUUAAAUAUUAUUCGCUCAGUCGAUUAAUGAGCUUCCGGCCUUUGGUUAAGUUGAUCCCUUAUGUAUGAAUAUAAGGGUUGGAAAUGUGAAGUAGGAUUGAUUUUUGAAAAUAUGUGUAUAUGAGAUUAUCCGUUUAGUUAUAUGAAUGCUAUACUUCAGUUGUGCCUAAUUUCAUUGCUCAAAACUUACUAAGCAUUAAAUGCUUAUUCCGUUUCUUUGAUUCUCUGUUUUAUAGAUUUUGGUUCGUCAGCUAUCGGACUCGGGAUUGUCGAAGUCGAAGUCGUCCACACUAUCAAAGCCCUUUUGGUACACUUUUGGUUGAACUCUGAAAAUGGCAUGUAUAGGACUACCCUUUUUGUUGUUGGUCAUGUACCCUUUGGUUUUGUAUAAAUUUGGAUAGCCAUGCGAAAAUGGCUUAUAUACACUUUGAGCAUAGCAUUAUAAUCGUUUUGUAUGUUGUUCAUUAAGAGGUAUGGAAAUGUUUGGUAACGAUUAGCCAUUGGGAA
rnacentral:lncRNA from 1 species